GUGGCUCUCGUCCCACGUGUGGUCACAGCUGUAUAGGAUCAGGCUGGAUGGUGCCACAGCUCAGGUCCCACUGCCUGACAGGGUGCCAAGGUGAGAAGAGCUAGCUCCCACAGGAGGGCCCAGAAGGAAUCAGUCAACGGGGACAUCUGUCAGAAAACCUGAGAGGGUCUCUAUUGACAGAGAAGGCCAAGAAUGGGAGGCAGGGCCUUGGGCAGUUGAGGACACAGUGGACAGGGAUCAGGAUGGGCCUCAAAGUUCUCAUUUAGUUCCUCCAAAUAAGCAUUAGACUGACACCAAAGUUUCAUCUCUGGCAUCCAUUCUUCUACUCCUCAGCCUAACCUCACGGAUAGAUCAACGCUUUCCUGAGCUUGUCCUGACUGACACAGCCUCCGCCCAUUCAUCUUCCUCCGCCUGACCUUCCAGUCAAUCACCCCUGUCUGUCAACCUUGACCCAUCUGCAAAUCCAUCUUCCCACCUGUCCAUUGCUCCAUCCACACUGUCUCUCCACCCCACCAUCCCAGCAUACCAUUCCUACAUCCAAAUGCCUUCCAGCCCCAUGCACACAGCCACCCCCAGGUCCAUCAUCUCUCUGUCCCUGUAUUCAGAGUUUUAUCAGCUCCCUCAGUGUACCAAAGACACCAGGUCCUCCCAUGCCCUAGACUCUGCUUGCCCUAAACCGGCCAGGGCUGCUCCAGGAAUCCCCUACCCAUGAGGCAACAUCCCGCAUCCCCUACCCCAGCACUCUGCCUCACCAUGGUGUCCAGACAGCAGGCAUUGUGGACAGGUUGGACACGUUCUUGUGGCAGCUGUGACACAUCUGGAGCUGCUUGGGGAGAGAAGGGAGUGAAAACUGUGCUGGGAGCGGGUCUGUACAUCUGCUCACAAGCUCUGGGAGGCUGCCUUAGGCAGCCCUGUUCCCUGAAAGUAGGGCAGUCCUUGUUUCUAGGAGUCUGUCCAGAAGAGGGAUCUCGGAAGAGGAAGGCAAGCCAGGGCCGGCCUCCCUUGGGAUAGGAGUGCUGUUAGCCUUGUGCCCCAGGACCCUUGUCUCAUCUUCUCUGUUAGGAUCCCAAGGAGCUCAGAGUCAGACGUGUCCAGCCUGCCCCUACCAAAUCAGCCAAUGGUGAGGAAUAUUUGCUGGGUGUUUGGGGUCAUCCGCAUCCCCCCAUACCUCAUUGCUUUUCCUGAACCUCCUACUAUGUAGGAAAGUUUCUGAAAUGAGGCUGAGGAGAGACCCCUGGGUUACCAUCAUGCUGGCCAGAGGAAGAGAAAAGAGGGAGAGAAACCUGAGGCGAGCUGGGCUCAGGGGACCAGCCGUCUCUUCCUGGAGACAGCUCGCUGACAAAGCCCAGGACAGUCAACCAGCAACUUGCACAAGUCCCCACAUCCUAGAAAACUCUGUCUUGUUUUCCGUUCCUUUUCCUUCAAUUCAGUUGGCCCGUAGGGUACCAAGCCAGACUGGGCGAUAGGAAUGCAGCAUCGACUCAAAAGUAUGGCCUGCCCAUUACAUCCUCUAAGGCUCCUGCUCCCAAGCCAGACAAGAGACCCAGCAGCCCUCGGCCCACACUGUAUCUGGGGUGGGCACGGCAGCACACAGCCUGCCAGGGAAGCCACUGCUUCUCCCCCUACAGGAGCUGGGGGAAGAGUACUGGAUGCUUUGUUCACGAAAAGCUGUGUUCCACAGCCCUACUCAUCUGGUGCUGUGUCCCACCACCCACCGUUAUCUACUGCUGUCCUAUAUGUUUGCCCUGUGGGCCACGGACACGGUGAUCAGGUUAAUUACAUCUGUGUAAUAAAGUGAGCAUUUGCUAUGAC
rnacentral:lncRNA from 1 species